rnacentral:rRNA from 1 species
CAUUGCUGGAACGCGCUUCGGCGCACCCAGAAACCCUUUGUGAACUUAUACCUUACUGUUGCCUCGGCGCAGGCCGGCCUCUUAGCUGAGGCCCCCCGGAGACGGGGAGCAGCCCGCCGGCGGCCAACCAAACUCUUGUUUCUACAGUGAAUCUCUGAGUAAAAAACAUAAAUGAAUCAAAACUUUCAACAACGGAUCUCUUGGUUCUGGCAUCGAUGAAGAACGCAGCGAAAUGCGAUAAGUAAUGUGAAUUGCAGAAUUCAGUGAAUCAUCGAAUCUUUGAACGCACAUUGCGCCCUCUGGUAUUCCGGAGGGCAUGCCUGUUCGAGCGUCAUUUCAACCCUCAAGCCUGGCUUGGUGUUGGGGCACUGCUCCGAGAGGAGCAGGCCCUGAAAUCUAGUGGCGAGCUCGCUAGGACCCCGAGCGUAGUAGUUAUAUCUCGUUCUGGAAGGCCCUGGCGGUGCCCUGCCGUUAAACCCCCAACUUCUGAAAUUUGAC